GCUGGCGGCGCGCUUAACACAUGCAAGUCGAGCGAGAACUGGUCCUUCGGGACCGGGGAAAGCGGCGAACGGGUGAGUAACACGUGAGUAAUCCACCCUCGGCACUGGGAUAGCCCGGGGAAACCCGGAUUAAUACCGGAUGGCCCAACAGCUCUUCGGGGCGGUUGGAAAAGGUAGCUUUGGCCUCCGGCCGAGGACGAGCUCGCGGCGGAUUAGCUUGUUGGUGGGGUAACGGCCUACCAAGGCGACGAUCCGUAGCUGGUCUGAGAGGACGAUCAGCCACACUGGGACUGAGACACGGCCCAGACUCCUACGAGAGGCAGCAGUGGGGAAUCUUGCGCAAUGGGCGAAAGCCUGACGCAGCGACGCCGCGUGAGGGAAGAAGGCUUUCGGGUUGUAAACCUCUUUCAGGAGGGACGAAGCUACUCGGGUUAAUAGCCCAGAGGGUGACGGUACCUCCAGAAGAAGCCCCGGCUAACUACGUGCCAGCAGCCGCGGUAAUACGUAGGGGGCAAGCGUUGUCCGGAUUUAUUGGGCGUAAAGAGCGUGUAGGCGGCCAGAUAGGUCCGUUGUGAAAACUCGAGGCUCAACCUCGAGACGCCGAUGGAAACCAUUUGGCUAGAGUCCGGAAGAGGAGAGUGGAAUUCCUGGUGUAGCGGUGAAAUGCGCAGAUAUCAGGAAGA
rnacentral:rRNA from 1 species